AGAGUUUGAUCCUGGCUCAGGACGAACGCUGGCGGCGUGCCUAAUACAUGCAAGUCGAACGAAACUUUCUUACACCGAAUGCUUGCAUUCACCGUAAGAAGUUGAGUGGCGGACGGGUGAGUAACACGUGGGUAACCUGCCUAAAAGAAGGGGAUAACACUUGGAAACAGGUGCUAAUACCGUAUAUCUCUAAGGAUCGCAUGAUCCUUAGAUGAAAGAUGGUUCUGCUAUCGCUUUUAGAUGGACCCGCGGCGUAUUAACUAGUUGGUGGGGUAACGGCCUACCAAGGUGAUGAUACGUAGCCGAACUGAGAGGUUGAUCGGCCACAUUGGGACUGAGACACGGCCCAAACUCCUACGGGAGGCAGCAGUAGGGAAUCUUCCACAAUGGACGCAAGUCUGAUGGAGCAACGCCGCGUGAGUGAAGAAGGUCUUCGGAUCGUAAAACUCUGUUGUUAGAGAAGAACACGAGUGAGAGUAACUGUUCAUUCGAUGACGGUAUCUAACCAGCAAGUCACGGCUAACUACGUGCCAGCAGCCGCGGUAAUACGUAGGUGGCAAGCGUUGUCCGGAUUUAUUGGGCGUAAAGGGAACGCAGGCGGUCUUUUAAGUCUGAUGUGAAAGCCUUCGGCUUAACCGGAGUAGUGCAUUGGAAACUGGAAGACUUGAGUGCAGAAGAGGAGAGUGGAACUCCAUGUGUAGCGGUGAAAUGCGUAGAUAUAUGGAAGAACACCAGUGGCGAAAGCGGCUCUCUGGUCUGUAACUGACGCUGAGGUUCGAAAGCGUGGGUAGCAAACAGGAUUAGAUACCCUGGUAGUCCACGCCGUAAACGAUGAUUACUAGGUGUUGGGGGUCGAACCUCAGCGCCCAAGCUAACGCGAUAAGUAAUCCGCCUGGGGAGUACGUACGCAAGUAUGAAACUCAAAGGAAUUGACGGGGACCCGCACAAGCGGUGGAGCAUGUGGUUUA
rnacentral:rRNA from 1 species